rnacentral:rRNA from 1 species
AUUGAACGCUGGCGGCAGGCCUAACACAUGCAAGUCGAGCGGAUGAGUGGAGCUUGCUCCAUGAUUCAGCGGCGGACGGGUGAGUAAUGCCUAGGAAUCUGCCUGGUAGUGGGGGACAACGUUUCGAAAGGAACGCUAAUACCGCAUACGUCGUACGGGAGAAAGCAGGGGACCUUCGGGCCUUGCGCUAUCAUAUGAUCCUAGGUCGGAUUAGCUAGUAGGGGAGGUAAUGGCUCACCUAGGCUACGAUCCGUAACUGGUCUGAGAGGAUGAUCAGUAACAUUGGUAUUAAGACACGGUCCAGAAUCCUACGGGAGGCAGCAGUGGGGAAUAUUGGACAAUGGGCGAAAGCCUGAUCCAGCCAUGCCGCGUGUGUGAAGAAGGUCUUCGGAUUGUAAAGCACUUUAAGUUGGGAGGAAGGGCAGUAAGUUAAUACCUUGCUGUUUUGACGUUACCAACAGAAUAAGCACCGGCUAACUUCGUGCCAGCCGCCGCGGUAAAAC